UGGGGAAUUGUUCACAAUGGGCGCAAGCCUGAUGACGCAACGCCGCGUGGGGGAUGAAGGUCUUCGGAUUGUAAACCCCUGUCGAAUGGGACGAAAGACUCGCGAGUUAAUACUUCGCGGGAGUGACGGUACCGUUAAAGGAAGCCACGGCUAACUCUGUGCCAGCAGCCGCGGUAAUACAGAGGUGGCAAGCGUUGUUCGGAAUUACUGGGCGUAAAGGGCGCGUAGGCGGCCUACUAAGUCAGACGUGAAAUCCCUCGGCUUAACCGGGGAACUGCGUCUGAUACUGGAUGGCUUGAGGUUGGGAGAGGGAUGCGGAAUUCCAGGUGUAGCGGUGGAAUGCGUAGAGAUCGGGAAGAACAUCGGUGGCGAAGGCGGCUCGCUGGGCUGUUGCUGACGCUGAGGCGCGAAAGCGUGGGGAGCAAACAGGAUUAGAUACCCGAGUAGUCCCUGAGCGGGCUGGCAAGGCGCAU
rnacentral:rRNA from 1 species